rnacentral:piRNA from 1 species
GACAGCUGGAGAAUGAACGGAGA